rnacentral:piRNA from 2 species
UGUCUGAUGGAUGUGAAGGUUUAUCUUUA